GUUAGGAAUAUUGGACAAUGGGCGCAAGCCUGAUCCAGCCAUGCCGCGUGAACGAUGAAGGCCUUCGGGUUGUAAAGUUCUUUAGCCGAUGAUUAUAAUGACUGUAGUCGGAAAAUAAGCCCCGGCUAACUUCGUGCCAGCAGCCGCGGUAAUACGAAGGGGGCGAGCGUUAUUCGGAAUCACUGGGCGUAAAGCGUGCGUAGGCGGUCUCGUAAGUUAGGAGUGAAAGCCCAGGGCUCAACCUUGGAAUUGCUCUUAAAACUGCAAGGCUAGAAUCUCGGAGAGGAUAGCGGAAUUUCCAGUGUAGCAGUGAAAUGCGUAGAUAUUGGAAGGAACACCAGUGGCGUAAGCGGCUAUCUGGACGAGUAUUGACGCUGAGGCACGAAAGCGUGGGGAUUAAACAGGAUUAGAUACCCUAGUAGUCC
rnacentral:rRNA from 1 species